rnacentral:rRNA from 1 species
CCCAGCCGAUGGAUUUGAUUGUAAGAACUAGAACAGCGUGGGAAAGCUGACCGAAGAUGGUGAUAGUCCAGUAUAGGUAGAAAGCAAUUAAGUUCUUGAGUAGGGCGGAGCACGAGAAAUUCUGUCUGAAAAUGGGGAGACCACUCUCCAAGGCUAAGUACUACUGAGUGACCGAUAGUGAACAAGUACCGUGAGGGAAAGGUGAAAAGCACCCCUAUAAGGGGAGUGAAAAAGAACCUGAAACCGGAUGCCUACAAGCAGUCGGAGGAGCAUUAGGCUCUGACGGCGUACCUUUUGUAUAAUGGGUCAGCGACUUAAUUUAUGUAGCAAGCUUAAGCCGAUAGGUGUAGGCGCAGCGAAAGCGAGUGUUAAUAGCGCGUUAAGUUACAUGGAUUAGACCCGAAACCGAGUGAUCUAGCCAUGAUCAGGUUGAAGGUUGGGUAACACCAACUGGAGGACCGAACCCACUCCCGUUGAAAAGGUAGGGGAUGAAUUGUGGCUAGGGGUGAAAGGCCAAUCAAACUCGGAAAUAGCUGGUUCUCCGCGAAAACUAUUUAGGUAGUGCGGCAAGCGGACACGUUGAGGGGUAGAGCACUGAAAGAGCUAAGGGGGAGCGAUCCUUACUAAACUUUAUCAAACUCCGAAUACUCAACAGUGAUACUUGCCAGACAGACUGUAGGUGCUAAGGUCUACGGUCGAGAGGGAAAGAGCCCAGACCGCCAAUUAAGGUCCCAAAAUUAUGGCUAAGUGGUAAAGGAAGUGAAUUGUCCAAAACAGUCAGGAGGUUGGCUUAGAAGCAGCCAUCCUUUAAAGAAAGCGUAAUAGCUCACUGAUCUAAACAAGACGAUUUGCGCCGAAGAUGUAACGGGGCUAAAGCCAUAUACCGAAGUUGCGGAAUUGCACGUAAGUGCAAUUGGUAGCGGAGCGUUCUGUAAGCCUGCGAAGGUGUUCCGUAAGGAAUGCUGGAGGUAUCAGAAGUGAGAAUGCUGACAUGAGUAGCGAAAAGAAGUGUGAGAGACACUUCCGCUGAAAGUCCAAGGUUUCCUGCGUAAAGCUAAUCUGCGCAGGGUUAGUCGGCCCCUAAGGCGAGGCAGAGAUGCGUAGUCGAUGGGAAUCAGGUUAAUAUUCCUGAACCAACUAGGAAGUGACGGAUUCAGUAAAUUGUAUGUCCUUAUUGGAUUGGAUGUGCAGUGAAUGAGUCCCGGGAAAUAGCCCUAGUAUAGACCGUACCCGAAACCGACACAGGUGGACAGGUAGAGAAUACCAAAGCGCUUGAGAGAACUAUGUUGAAGGAACUAGGCAAAAUACUUGCGUAACUUCGGGAUAAGCAAGCCCCAUUUCUGGGCAACCAGAGGUGGGGGGCACAUACUAGGGGGUAGCGACUGUUUACUAAAAACACAGGGCUCUGCUAAAUUGAAAGAUGAAGUAUAGGGUCUGACGCCUGCCCGGUGCUGGAAGGUUAAGGAGAGAUGUGCAAGCAUUGAACUGAAGCCCCAGUAAACGGCGGCCGUAACUAUAACGGUCCUAAGGUAGCGAAAUUCCUUGUCGGGUAAGUUCCGACCUGCACGAAUGGCGUAACGACUUCCCCGCUGUCUCCAACAUAGACUCAGCGAAAUUGAAUUCUGAGUUAAGAUGCUCAGUACCCGCGGUUAGACGGGAAGACCCCGUGAACCUUUACUAUAGCUUUGCAGUGGUAUUAGGUGACAAAUGUGUAGGAUAGGUGGGAUGCUAUGAAGUUAUGACGCUAGUUGUAAUGGAGCAGACGUUGAAAUACCACCCUUUUGUUAUUUGAUAUCUAACCUGCUUCCGUUAUCCGGAAGAGGGACCCUGCAUGGCGGGUAGUUUGACUGGGGCGGUCGCCUCCCAAAGAGUAACGGAGGCGCGCAAAGGUUGGCUCAGAUUGGUCGGAAAUCAAUCGUUGAGUGCAAUGGCAUAAGCCAGCCUGACUGCGAGAGCGACAGUUCGAGCAGAGACGAAAGUCGGUCAUAGUGAUCCGGUGGUCCCGAGUGGAAGGGCCAUCGCUCAACGGAUAAAAGGUACU